AGCAGGCUCCGGGCUCUGAGCUGUCAGCACAGAGCCCGACGCGGGGCUGGAACUCACAGACCGCGAGAUCAUGACCUGAGCUGAAGUCGGCUGCUUAACUGACUGAGCCACCCAGGCGCCCCAGGGUACCUUGUAUUUCAUGCUCCAUCUGAGCCAGUGCUUUCCUUGAUGCUUUCCCUGACCUCCAGCACAUCUGGUCAGCUUAGUCACCAGUCUGACCGUGUGCCAGGCCCUGUGCUAUGUCCCAGAGAUCUAGAAAUGAACAGGGACUCCCUCUGCCCUGGGGAAGCCGACUGCCCGGGUGGGAGGAGAGGCUCAGAGACUAACACGGGAUGCUUGUGCCAAGGCAGAAUGUGCCGGCAGCCUUGGAGUUCACAGAGGGAACCUCUCAUCUUCUGUAGGAGAGCGAUUAGCAGCUCUGGAACUCAGACGGCCAGGGUUUUGCUCCAGACCAGUCAAAUAUAGAGGGUCUGAUAUUUGGGGGGGAAAUGAUUUUAGAUUUUGUAAGUAAAAAAUGUUGCUACAUUUACCUGAUGAUAGGACAUUCCUUCUACGCGGCAGGAUGCCUGAUAAGAAGAGCAAUGAUUUAAAAUAGGAAACUUCCAGAUACAUAUUUAAUGAUACCUUCCUCCCCACUUCCUCCCUCGCCGUAUCGGGAACAACCAAGUCGAUCUUUGUCCUUGCCGUGGGCGUUAGGAUUGCCAGUGACAGUUCAGCCCCUCCAGAUACACCUCCUCUGAGUCCUCCGCUCUUACAUUGUGUCAACAUCCCAUCUCCCAACCAGAUUGUGUGGCUGUGCUUGGAAGAAGAGGUAACCACAGUCGGUGCUUACACUGGAGGCUGAUCAAAUCUCAGAAUCUUCCCUGGGCAGGCUCAGUAGUUCUAGAAUAUCCUGGCCCCUUGGACGGGAAGGACCAGCCACCACUGCCACUGUUGCUGCUGUCGCUGCUGUGUAGGGUCUCCUUCCCCUCUCUUUCCCUCCUCUUUAUGGGGCCAGACUCAGAAAAGCUUCUGGAGGUGGUGUCUCCAAACUGCUCCUCCACAGUACUACCCACUUACCCAGCCUGCUUCCUCUGCUCAGCCCCUUUGGACCACGGCCAGCUGAUCACUGCUCACGCAGUUACGAAGGCCCCAGAGGUCUUUUGAGACACCCACCCCUCCCUGCCCUUCUGACUGAUGGGACUCCUCACCAGGUGGGGAACCCAUUGGCUCUUGGCUGAGAAAUGAGGUUAAACCUGGACACCGCUGGGAUGUGGAAGCUGGGGGAUGAUUAAUGAUACUACUCAGGAAGGGUUGAGACAUUUGCAUUUCUGUCCAGCAGAGGAUCUAUUUCAAUCAGGAAGUUACUCUUGCUGCCCAAAGAAGCAGAAUAGUCCCCUCCCACGCUCACUUACUGCUGAAGGGAGGAUGGUCACGCAGCAUCGUGUGGGCAGUGCAAUCACAGAGCGCCCAGGCGGGAAAGCUGAGCUGCACCGACGCGCCCAGAAGGGGGCCACUGCCCCUCAUCCAUGAGAGCUGGCAUCCCGAGAACAAUAGCCCUGAGUGCACCGACCUCUGAGGAACGCUGUUGCGAAAGAAUCCGUGUUCAGUCCAAGUUCAAGAACAUUUCCAGACGUUACGGAUACCUGGGCCAGGUGGCCCUUACCUGACGUAGAAAGCCAAGAUUCUGGAGCCCAGAAAGGCAGGCCAGGAGUGGGAAGAGCAGGCCCAGGAUGGAUUUUCUGUCAUCACUGCUCAGGGUCUAGGAGCUGGAGCAGUGUGGCAUCCCUACCCGGCCCGGCAGCUGAAGACGGGGGAAACUGAGGCCCAGAGAGGUUCUAGAACUGCCAGAAAGCGCUGGAUCCAGGAUACAGAACAUUAGCUAAAGCUGAGCUAUGGCAGACCUCGGUUUCCUUGUACCUAAAAGCGGACCAGCCUUAUGUUACAGCCACAGCCCAGGCUGCAGCAGAAGCUUAAAUGGAAUCGUGAGUUCUGCCACGUACUCUGCUUCAGAAGUUCCGGGGAGCAGAGGACACUCGAGGUCGCAUCCUCAGUGUGGCCUGGAUCCUUCUCCCCUUUUGUUCUCCUGGAGAACGUCUUGCAGUAUAGCUGAUCCUGGAUGUCGGAGAGGUCACAUGUGACUCUGAGCAGUAUGUCUGGUGUGGAGGCGUAAGAGAGGCCUGAUGCCCACGGAGGAUUUCACGUGUUAACAGGAUGGCCCUGUACACAGAAGCAACCAAGGGCCCCAGCACGGGGACACCAGCACCGGAUAGCACCUCAUAAGGACAAGACACUGAAUUUCUCCUUUGCCCUCUCAUGGAAGUCAUCUGCGAUCCCUCCGGGGGUGAGUAUUGUGUGUGCCCUGAGAUGGUCCCUGAGGGCGGCCAUAUGGACCCGCGUGCUGCCAGGCUGGCUGUGUGCCCCAGAUCCUGAGCUGUCGGUGGAGACAGGGGUCGAGCCCAGAGACCCCAGCCAGAAUUACUUUGGCACGUGUUUUCAUUUCUACCUGAACUUUGAGAAGCACGGACAUUCCCCCAAAUCCAUUUUCCUCGUUUGCUGGGGCAGACGCCGCUCGUUUAUGGCCCUGGGAAGGAAGACAUCACACCUCAAGUGCCAUUCCGAUCCCGGAAUGUCAUCAGGACCACCCCCGCGCUGAGACUUUUCACCUGCAACACUGAGGCUCAGAGAGGGCACGUGAGGGCCCCAUAGCCACACAGCAAACAGAAGGAAAGUAACUGCUGAAGACGCCCCCAGGGACCCAGCCGGAGGCCCCAGUCCAGCAGGGGCAGAGAGCCCGGGUGGAAAGGGCCAGAGAGCAGGGGAGGGGCAGAGAGAGAAACACACACAGAAUCCGAAGCAGGCUCCAGGCUCUGAGCUGUCAGCACAGAGCCCGAUGCGGGGCUCGAACUCACGAACCGUGAAAUCAUGGCCUGAGCCGAAGUCGGCCACCCAACCAACUGAGCCUCCCAGGCGCCCCAGAAGCUGACCUUUAAAAAGCCACAUAAGAGGGAAGGUUGAGCAUCGGAUUAGGAGACAGGAACCUUCCAAAGUUUCCUGGACGAGGACUUUUUCAACUAGACUGCCAUGAACUGUGUAUUCUUAAGCAGGCCAUCUACUUCCUCUGUGCCUCAGUUUCCACAUCCGUUGAGCUGAAGACGGUGUCCUUCACGUGAGGUGAGGAGAAGAAAGACUGGCUGCCCGUGCAAUUUGCAAACCUCAAAGUGUUUGCUUAUUUGAACUUCGAGGUGGAUGGGAACAGCUAAGGAACCCCCCUGGGGCACCUGUGAGGGGAGGGCUGAGGGGCAACCCGGAAAUGACUUUGCUGAGAGGAGAGGGGGAGAGAACAGGGAGAGGAAACCCAAAAUGGACCACAGUUUGGUGGGGGGGGGGGAGGAGACAGGCUGCAAGCGUUCCAGCAGGAGACCACCUGUGGCCCGUGGACAUGACCUUUGGUGUCUCACGGCAGAUUCAGUCCGGCUGCUUCUGCACCAGCAGCAAGAGUCCAGACUGGGUCCCCGUGGUUGUCACAAAUAUUCCGGCGUUCUCUCCAUCUAGGUACCUGGCGGGACUAGAUCCUCUGUGCCGUUGAGGGUCUGCAUGACCGUGUGACUCUAUUUGGCCACUGGCACGUGAGUGGAAGUGACGGUAUCACUUUAGGGGCAAACUUGAAGAGCUCAUGCGUGACUGGCGGUCAAGGCACAGCUGGAUGGCGCCCCGCCCACAGCUCUUGGAGCAUCCUGAUGACUUAGUCCCCCCAGUGUCUGCGUCUCUGCGCCCAAGGGCUUUGUCUAGACCACAAAACACGGCUCUGCCCGCGCACACCCCAGGCUGGGAGUGCCAGGGAAAUACACACCUCACCCCCGUCAGCCCGGGCCAGCGACUGGGGGGUUGAGAUAUAAAUACCCCAGCUCUCUCACCCCUGAGGCGGGCUCACCCUGGCACAUGGGUUCCUCACCGUUUCCCCGGGAUUUCCCAGGGGACGAACCGCAUUCACCCACAGCGGCAGCUGGGUUAAUCCACGUCCCUUAUUAGCUGCUUUCCUUUCCCUGAGGCAUUCUCCCGCUCCAUACCAGUGUCCCCUGUACCCCCCGCCCCCAAAUUAGCUGUUGGCACUCGCACCACUGACUCUGGGUCUGUUUCUGGACAGCCACGUUCCUCUUUCCUGCCGUCACUAAAACCCACUGGCCAAAGAGUGGGCAGUUCCCCAGGCAGUGACUGUUCUGUCAUCCCCAGGCCUUGGGGUAGAGCGACUAGAAGAAGCUGGGCCUCCAGUGGGCUCACCGCGGACAGUGAGCAGGAGGAAGAAGCCCCCUGAAGCUUGGGAGGCCUUUGGUGCCGCGGCAUCAGCUCACCUACUCUGACUGAUACGGCCCCUGCCUCCCCCCAUACGCUGCAAAGGCACAUCGAGUUCAAGGCAUCUUACAAGGGACAGAGAAGGACGGAAAGACAAAGAAAGAAGGCAUGCAAGCCCAUAUGUGCACAAUGGAGAGAGAGUGUGGGAAUGUGUGAGUGUGAGUGUGUGUGUGUGUGUGUGUGUGUGUGUGUGUGUGUGCCUAUGUUAGGGCAGGAUGGAAGGAAAGGGGAGGGAUCAGUUUGAAGGGGUGACUAAAAAAAGAUGCCCAAGGGGCACCUGGCUGGCUCAGCCGGUUAAGCAUCCGACUCUUGGUUUUGGCUUCCGUCACCAUCUCACGGUCUGUGAGAUCAAGCCCUGCAUCGGGCCCCCCACGGACAGCGAGGAGCCCGCUUGGGAUUCUCUCCCCCGCUCUCUCUGCCCCUCCCCACUCUCAAAAGAAAUAAACUUCAAAAAGAAAGCAAGACAAAGAUGUCCAAGAACUCUGGCACCGGAGAGACGGAGGUAGAAAAGGAUAAAAGAUCAAAAGGCCGACAGAUGCAGUGACAAGGGUCCAGGGUCACACACGGAAGCUGAAUGCUGAGCCAAGCCUCAAAGGUGGGCUUCCUGAUUCCAACCCAGCGCUCCUUCCCCUGAGCUCGUCGCCCCAUCCAGAAGGCCUGGCUGGCCUGCCUUCUCUCCGCUGCCCUGGGUGUUGCGGGGUGGGGGGGAAGCUCACGGCUGGUGGCCUGUGGCUCCAAGCCCCUCACGUGUGGAUGACAGCGGCACACAGGCUGGCCUGUGACCAUGUGUGGGCCUAAGCAGCAGGCUCCUCUGUUUGCAAGCACACAAGUGGACUCUUGCCAGCUCAAGCCAUAAAUGGGGGUGAACUGGGGAGUCCUGGGGCUCCCAGCUAACAGCAUGGGCCUUGGGAGAACAGCGUCGAGAGCGGCUUCGGACUGGCCCCGUGCCCUGGACCCUCCUGGCAGCGAUGGGCCUGUCUGCCCCUCACCUGCCAUUCUCACAGCAGGUCCUGCUCUUCAUUCAUUCGACCCUCCCUGAAGCUCUCAUGGAUGUACUACACGCACCUGGUGCCGUGGAGACGCUCCUCACCCCUCACACACGACCACGGUAACGCCAGGCCGAGGGGCCUGCAGCCUUGGGACGGCCUGCCUGUGGCGGGGCCAGCUCCGUGUCUUGAUCUCACCACCCAGCCUGGGGACGCUUAGGAUUGACCUGACCGAGCCAGCCAGCAUAGUCACAUAUGGACAGAAAGUGCUAGAAGGUGUUUUAAUCUGCUCCCCAAGUUCCCAUGCGGAACAGGGUCUGUGAAGGAUUCCAGAGCUGGAUUUCCCUGACUCAUCAUCCUUGAGAUUCUGUCAGUGGAGUUUUUUCUAGAGAGGGAGGCCUGCCCUUUGGCUUAGUUGCAGAACUGCCCCCCAGCACUCCCUCAGCUCAACCUCCCCCUCCUCUCCCCCUCCACUCCCUCGGGACUCCCUCCGGGUGUCUCUAGGUCACAGUAUCCUCCUGCUCUUUGGGGGGAGCCUGACCAGAGGCCCUUUUGUUGUUUCUACUCCUGUUCUCACAAAAGUCCCUGUGGAGGGGGAAAAAUGUCACCUAGAUAAAGACACAGAGCAUAAAGAAGAAAAAACCCAAAGAGUGACAUUUGGGAAAGUUUAGACAAGAAUAGCCUGGACAGGGCUGAGCUUGGGAAGAGGGAGAAGGUCAGAGCCUGGGGGAUUAGGGACGUCAGACAGCUGACAUGGUGACAGAUGUCUGGCCCUGGGUUUCUCUUUCGUAAUGACCAGAGUUUGCUCACUGAGCUCUGCCAGAGCACUCGCUAUGUGCUAAGCACCUUCCGCUGAUUGUCUCAAUUCACAAGACACCCCUGGGAGAUCCUUACCGUUAUUAACUCAGAUGGAAGAUGGGGAAACUGAGGUUCAGGGAGGUAAAGUAACUUUCCCAGGGUCUCAUGUCCAUCUGGCUACGGCACAACGGGCUACCAGGGCCCCCCGUGGCUUUGAAGCUCAGAGCAACUGGGAUGUCUGAGUACCAUAAAGUUUUAUCUGAGCAGAUGAGCCUUGCUGAGAGAAAUCCUUGUGCUCCCAGAGAACAGGGUGGAAAAUGGGAAAGAAACUAGCUUUGGAGUCGGAAAUCCUGGAGCCCCAACACAGGCUUUGCCUCUCGCUAUUGAAUUACCUUGAACAACUUACUGUAGGGAGCCCAAGAAGAAAAGUAGCAUGAUUGGCCAGGCUUGGAUCAUGCCAUCACACCCAGGCCAAUCAUUUUUAGCAAGUUGGCUGUUCGAGUUCAGUCCCACUACUUAGAGCGGGAAUGGGCAGUGCUUUGUCCGGGAAAACGGGGUGUGGGUGGGGGGCAGGAAAUAAAAGAUUCUAGGCAAAAUGAAUAUAUUUUAUUAUUCAAACCCCAGUUCUCUCCGCUCCUAAUCAUUCCCAUCCAAUAUUGAAAUGCCACUCUGAAGUUUACAUUCUGGGGGUGCCUAGGUGGCUCAGUCAGUUGGGCAUCCAACUUCCCGCUCAGGUCAUGAUCUCAUGCUUCUUGAGUUCGAGUCCCACAUCAGGCUCUGUGCUGACAGCUCAGAGCCUCAA